rnacentral:rRNA from 1 species
CGGAAAACUGGGGAUAAUACCGGAUAUAUGGAGAUGCCUGGAAUGGUACUCCACUUAAAGCUCCGGCGCCUAAGGAUGGAUCUGCGGCAGAUUAGGUCGUUGGUGGGGUAAUGGCCCACCAAGCCUAUAAUCUGUACGGGUUGUGAGAGCAAGAGCCCGGAGAUGGAACCUGAGACCAAGGUCCAGGCCCCUACGGGCGCCGCAAGCGCGAAACCCUCGCAAUGGCGAGAAAUCGCGACGGGGGGACCCCAAGUGCCACUCUUAACGGGGUGGCUUUUCUUAAGUGUAAAAAGCUUUUGGAAUAAGGGCUGGGCAAGACCGGUGCCAGCCGCCGCGGUAACA